GAGUUUGAUCUUGGCUCAGGAUGAACGCUAGCGGCAGGCCUAAUACAUGCAAGUCGGACGGGAUUCGGGAGCUUGCUCCCGAUGAGAGUGGCGCACGGGUGCGUAACACGUAUGUAACCUACCUUUGUCAGGGGGAUAGCCUCUCGAAAGAGAGAUUAAGCCCGCAUAACAUCACGAUACAGCAUUGUAAUGUGAUCAAAUAUUUAUAGGACAGAGAUGGGCAUGCGGAACAUUAGCUAGUUGGUAAGGUAACGGCUUACCAAGGCUACGAUGUUUAGGGAUCUGAGAGGAUGACCCCCCACACUGGUACUGAGACACGGACCAGACUCCUACGGGAGCAGCAGUAAGGAAUAUUGGUC
rnacentral:rRNA from 1 species